rnacentral:rRNA from 1 species
UACAGAGGGUGCGAGCGUUAAUCGGAGUUACUGGGCGUAAAGGGCGCGCAGGCGGUUGUACAAGUGGGAUGUGAAAUCCCCGGGCUUAACCCGGGAACUGCAUUCCAUACUGUUCGACUGGAGUACUGUAGAGGGUAGUGGAAUUUCCGGUGUAGCGGUGAAAUGCGUAGAGAUCGGAAGGAACACCAGUGGCGAAGGCGGCUACCUGGACAGAUACUGACGCUGAGGCGCGAAAGCGUGGGGAGCAAACAGG